rnacentral:rRNA from 1 species
CGCACAGCUCAGUAACACGUGGCUAACCUGCCCUCGGGACGGGAAUACCCCCGGGAAACUGGGGCUAAUUCCCGAUAGGUGAAGAACUCUGGAAUGAGUCUCCGCCCAAAAGACGCUUAGAUCAUGCUUCUAGGCGCCGCCCAAGGAUGGGGCCGCGACCGAUCAGGUUGUUGGUGAGGUAACGGCCCACCAAGCCUUUAACCGGUGCGGGCCGCGGGAGCGGGAGCCCGGAGAUGGGCACUGAGACAAGGGCCCAGGCCCUACGGGGCGCAGCAGUCGCGAAAACUUUGCAAUAAGCGAAAGCUUGACAGGGCUAUCCCGAGUGCCAUCCGCUGAGGAAGGCUUUUACUCAGUCUAGAACGCUGGGGGAAUAAGGAGAGGGCAAGUCUGGUGUCAGCCGCCGCGGUAAUACCAGCUCUCCGAGUGGUGUGGAUGUUUAUUGGGCCUAAAGCAUCCGUAGCUGGCUGAGUUAGUCCUCUGUUAAAUCCACCGAAUUAAUCGUUGGAUUGCGGGGGAUACUGCUCGGCUAGGGGACGAGAGAGGCAGACGGUAUUCCCGGGGUAGGGGUGAAAUCCUAUAAUCCCGGGAAGACCACCAGUGGCGAAGGCUGUCUGCUAGAACGCGCCCGACGGUGAGGGAUGAAAGCUGGGGGAGCGAACC